rnacentral:lncRNA from 10 species
GAGGAUAGAAAAGUAUAGAGGAAAAAGGAAGUUCCACCUCCAUGAUCCUUUAGUCCUCUAGCUGUUCUCCCCAGAGAAAGCAACUCUAAGUUUCUUGCAGAAAGGACCUGGAUACACUAGUAGAGAUGUGGUCUAUGUUGCCCAGGGUGGACUCGAACUCCUGGACUCAAGUGACCCUCCUGCCUCAGUCUCCCAAGUAGCUGGGACUGCAGACAAGGGAAUGAGAAGCAGCAAGUUAAAUGCAGAACAGAAAUGAAGCUGUUAGACCAAAUUUUCAGCUUCUCACAUGGCACCUCUAUCUGUGAAUACGAUUUUCUCACUUGUUAGAGCCUCUGUCACAUAAUACACUUGCCACAGAAUACUGCCACAGAGAAGAGCAAAGGAAGACAGCUGGCUAGCCAAAUGUCCCCACAAUGGAAUAGUGCCUGAAAGACCCAUGGGGGAGCUGUCCAUCAGAGCCACACUCCCCACCAGCUCCUUGGAAGGCACCCCCAAAAGCAGGAGUGGAGAGUCCAAAUGUCAUCUGCCCUCGAACACCACAUGAAAUGGGGAGUACCCUUCACUCAGAGAGCAGCCCACCCCUCUUCCUCCUUUCAGGGAGGGUUACCACAGUGGAAGUGAAGCUCCUCAACAAGCCUUCAGCUCUGUGAUGAAAUUCCCUGGUCCUCCACACCUAUCCAUCCCUGACAGAGUAUGAUCAGUUUGCUUCUAUUUCUAGUAGAAUAUAUUUCACAGCAUAAUAGUUCAAAGAAACCUUACAACCCUA